UAAUGAAGAGGCAAUGAAGAGUGGGCUGUCCCAUCUCCAACCACCCAACAGGUUUUCUUGGAGGCAGGGCUUCUCUGUGUGUGUUCUGCCAUUGCUACACACAGUAGCCAUUAUCUUCUGAGGAAUGCUGGGAAAACAAAAUCUGCAGAGUAUCUGCAAGGCACUGUGGACUAGACCUUUAGGGGUGAGGAGUCCUUCCUUUUAAGAUUGAAUGAAGAGAUAAAUGGGGAGUCAAUGCAGGAGAUGACACUCUUCCUUGGUGUAUGAUAUGAACGUCAAUGAGAGAGAGAGAGAGAGAGAGAGAGAGUGCAAGCCUAGAACUCCAGUACCACUGUCAGCAAAAGACAGGGAUUGGGGCCAAGCUCCACUCUGUGACCCUGCUGCACCCUGAGGAGUUCCUCUUAGUCUUUCAUGUCCAAACAGGGAUUCGUGGAUUUGAUGCCAAAAAAAUGUUCAGGAGUAACCAGAGUGAUACAGAAGUGGGUCCCUUAAUAGAUAUUUUAACACAGUGUUUUUUGUUUUCCGCUGCUGUUUUGUUUUCAAGACAAGGUCACACUGCAUAGCCCUGGCUGGCCUGGAAUGCAACUACAUAGACAAGGCUGACAGAAAACUCAGAGAUGGAGCUGUUAAACAUCUGCUGUAAGCACAAAGGCUAAGAGAGAGUCUAAGAAAGAAAGACAGAUGUACCCCAUAGCAUGGGCGUGGGCCUAUGUAACAGACGUGUCAUCUUUACAACAGUCAUAUACAAAAUGUUGAUGGCUCUGAAAGCUGUUAAUUUGGCAGGGAAUGUAAGGGAAUGGAGAUCACUGGAUGGUUCCCAAGACACACAUGACAGAAUUACAAUCGAUAAGGUAAAAAAACAAAAACAAAACCAAAAACCUCAGGAUCACAAGAGAGCAGGAAGGUAGGAUGUCUUUACUAUAAACAAAGUUAGGAGACUUUUUUUUCCCCCUAGAAAAUUAGUGGGCAAAGGAAAAAGCCCUACUCAAGGUCAUAUCCAUUCAGGCCUCAAGCCUGGGCCAUUGCUAUUUUAAUAUGAACAUGUAUAUACAAUGCUGCGGAUAUGCAAAGGACUAUCAUCUUAUGUCAGCAACUUUCACGGUCAAUCAUGAUGGAACUGUUGCUUCUCAGCAGGUGAGAGGCUUCAACCAGGCUCUGGGGUGAGUGGGCCCUUCACCUCCCGGGCCCUCAUCAUUUCCCCCACCUUUCUAUCCUGCCACAGACAGUUUUUAGGCUCCCCUGAUGAGGAAAGAGGAAAUGAUAAUCAUUGGCAGAGAAGGGAUUUUGCUGCAAGCUUGGACCUAGUGUGUGUUCAACAACAGAGUAGACAACGUUUGUCAAGGAAAGAAUUAUUACAGACCCUACUACCUAUCGAGGGCAUUUCCUUCCUCCUGGGCUAGCCACGUGUUCCAGAGAAAACCACCCAAGAGAGCAUGGGCUAGCCUGAGACCCUGCCUCCAAACAUCAAGGCUGUAGCCUAAGGCCGUUCUUAAAUUUCAUUACAUAACGCGCUUCUAUCUGGACCCUCUGGGAAGACGCUCCUACCCCACGUCCUCAAAUCCUUUGUCUCCUGAACAGGAGAUGAGGCUUGUUAUCAAACUACAUCGUGCCUGAUGAUGCCUCCUGGCACAGAAUCUCUACUUGGGAACCGCGGCAUAACUACAGCUAACCACGCUUAAAGAUGAGCUUAACACCAUGUUUUGUAAAGACUGGCCGAGCCUUCACCAAUCGAACAACCACGCUCCAGCCAAUCACAGACCUCGAACUGAUCAGACCACUUUCCAAGGAGGCGAACGCCCAGCUGUCACCAGUCCAGCUUUCUCACUCCUUUCACUCCUCUGUCCCUGGAUGCUGCCCGCCCAUGAUGCCCUGAGGGGGUCUCUGAACGCAUCUGAUUCUGACAGCUGCCUGACACAAAUCGCUCCUCGCUCCCACUUGGCACCCAAACUUGUUAAGUUUAAUUUGUCAGCAGGUUUUGUUUUGUUUUGUUUCUUAGCAGGGUCAGAGCAGACUGUGCCUGUCCCAGCUCUAAGAGCUUUUUACUGUGUCUAGAGUCUCCUGGGCUCUCGGGUCCGCCUCCCCUUAGUCCUUGGCAAUGGGAUUCCAGUUUCCUAACUUCGGAUUGCCCUUGGUUCUAACAGCUCAAAUACGCACAAGAGAGGACCUGCCGCACGGUCACUUGUGCCCAGGGAAGCAGGGAUACAGUGCUCAGGUAUGGUGAAGUCAGGUGAAAGCCCUGAACUAGAAAAACCAAGAGAUUUCCUCGUGUCUCUCCUCUGGGGUGGAAUGCAGUCAUCCUGUCUCAGAUUGGAAGGAAAUGAUUAGAAUCUUUGGACACUGAGCUGGAGAAACCUCUGGAGAAAUCUGCUCCCAUGAAGCUUCUUCUGUCAGGCUUCGGAAUUCCAUUCACCGGCAGGUACUCAUGCAGCCACAGAACUAUUACCGUUCCAGGAUCACACUUAAGGGAUUUAAAAAAAAAAAUCAUUUUAAAUAUAAACAAAGUCAGCUGAAUCUAAAGGAAAGAGUCCCUGAUUAGACUGUUUUAAUCAUCCAUGUGUGUGUAUUGAAAUACCACAUGUACUCUGCAAAUAUGCAAAUUUUUAUGUCAAGUAAUAAUGCUGAAGGGAUUAAAAUAUUUCCCUACAUUAA